rnacentral:tRNA from 1 species
CGCGACGUAGCUUAACGGAAAGAGCGCCCGCCGCACUGCGAAACUUCUAGGGUCACGCCGGGGGUCUAGGGGCGGGGAGAUGCGGGUUCAACUCCCGCCGUCGUGC